GUGAGAAACGAAGGGUGCGUUUCCUAGCGGCUUAUUGUGAAAGGAGGAAAAUGAAGCCCCAGAGUCAGGAAACUUGGGGCUGGCGGACUUGAAGUUUUGUACUUAGGAAAAGAAAGAGGCUCCAUUAAAGGGCUGAAGAUUGAACCUGAGCCUUGCCUGGUUACACAAGCUACACCCCUGGCUCUAGCUUUAAAGCUCUUCCCAUUCCUCCUUCCUGGGAAUUGAUCCAAGGGUUGUUCUCUCACUGAGCUACUAUUUUACAGCUCCACUUUUUUCCUUUAUUUUUGAGACGGUCUCACUGUGUUGUUCGGGCUGGUCUUAAAUUCACUUUUAGCUCAGCCUGGCCUCAAACUUGCCAUCCUUUUGCCUCGGCCUACUGAAUAGUUGGGAUUACAUAGAUCCACAACUCCAGAUCUAAUUGUGGGAAAACAUCAAUGGACUCCAAAUUGACAAUCAUUCUAAAAAGUAUGUAUCCAACCUCAUAAAACUCCCUGUGAAGAUGUAAAAUGUGAUUGGAGAUUGCAAAUACAUUUUUAUGCUUUACUACCAGAAGUGAAGCUCCAAGAAAGCUGAGGUCCAUAGACAGCUUGGGACACCAUACGCAAUGCUCACCUCGCUAUGCAGAUAAAGACACUGAAACAUCCAGAGAUCACACAAGCUUUCAGUUACCAAGCGGGACAAGGGCCCUGGCUCAGUGACUCCUAGCAUUGUGCCUUUUAUUUCUCAAAGCAUAAUCUUUAGUAGAUUAAAAUAAAAAAUGUAUCCAGUACCCUUCAAACUAUCAAGGCAGGUGUGGUGGCACACACUCGUAAUUCUAACUACUUCAAGACCUCUCAAAAAUGUAAAAAGGGGGUGGGUGUGUGUGGAGAAGUAACUCAGUGGUAGAGUGCUUGCCUAACAUGCACAAGGCGCUGGGCUCUGUCCUCCCUAACACACACAUAUACACAUACACAUAGAUACUCAUAUACACACAUACACACACAUGGUCCCUAGACAAAUACUGGCUCUGAAGGAGAGGAGGCACUCUGGAAACAACUACUGGGGAGAAAGCUAAUGAAACUUUCUCUCACCAAUAAGAGGUCAAAGGUUAAAAAUGCAAGAGUCACCUGUAAUCCCACCCCUCAGGAGGCAGGGGCAGGAGGAUCCCUGAAAAUUUGAGGCCAGCCUGGGCUACAUAGCGAGAUUCUGCCCCCUCCCCCAGGAGAGAGAGUGGUUGAUGGAGAAGCUUUCCAAAGAAAGUGUUUGCAGUGAGUGAGUCAGCUGAUGAAGGUAGAGAGGUAGACUUGACCCUAAGGAAGGGAUCUCUUUCAUAUCCCCAGACAGGAACAGGGGACCAAGGAAAAAUACCAAUGGCUGGCAGUGAGAGCCUAGAGAAUGCACAUAUGAUGUCAUCAAUUUUUAUCUUCCUUGCUUUGCCUCAAUAGCAGUUUGUUAUUUAAGUAUAAUUUUAAGUGCAAUUAUAACAGUUAGAAGCUGGGCCUGGAGAUCUCCAGUGGGUAACUAAAAGGAUAAAGCUUGGUGGUGCUCCCCCCACCCUUUGAGGCAGAGUCUUGCUAUGUUGUCCAAGCAGACCUUGAACACACAAACCUCCUACCUUACCUUCCUGAGAGCUGAGAUUAUAAGCAUGUACCUUGAUGCCAGGCUUUUCCUUUAUUUUAUAUGUCUUCCUUAUUACCUUAAAACUUUGGAUCAAAUGGCAAUACAGUGUUUGUUAGAUCUAAAUUGACCUAACCUAUCUCUGUCCCCUUUUAAGACUGAGGACACUGAGAUAAGAGUAACAAAGGCAUUUGCAAGAUUUCUAUGGACACGCUCAGUGUAGUGGCAUGGGCCUGUAAUUCCAGCACUUGGGAGGCUGAGGCAGGAGGAUUGAUGCAAGUUUGAGGUCAGCCUGGGCUACAUAGUGAGUUCAAGCCUGUCCUGAACUACAAAGCAAGACUGUCUUAAAUUAAAAAAAUGGUCUCUAGGGCCGGGGAUUUAGCUCAGUGGUACCUCCGCCUGGUAAGCGCAAGGUCCAGAGUUUGAUCCCCGGCACUACAAAAAAUUCUCCAGUCAUUAUUCUAUGCCCCAGUCACCUCAGAUGAUUCCAGGAGAAUCAGAGCCUUGAGACCAUCUCUUGAUGUAGUCACUGUCUUACAGGAGGGUAGUGGUACUCAGCAGAUUGAUGUAGGUCUGGGGUGCGGCCUGAGAUUUGCAGCAGAGAAUUUCCUUAGGACCCCUGCAGAGUUUUGGAGGCCAGAAAGGGAGCCAGGGAGUGAGACUAAUGAUCUUCUUGUGGUCAUACCCACUUCCUCCCUGAAUGUGGUGGUGGGAGGUGGCUGAGGCACAGGGAUUGCCAGCUUGGAUCUGGCAUGUCCUCCUGAGGUCCCUGUGCUGAAGAGGCUCUGUCACCAGCCCAUAGCACUAUGGGAAGGGCUGUGGGAGGCCUUUGGCUGGCUGGUCUGCUGGUCUUGUCUCUGACCCUUCCUCUUUUUUUUUGGUACCAG
ensembl:lncRNA